rnacentral:rRNA from 1 species
CUGGGAUACCACUUGGAAACAGGUGCUAAUACCGGAUAACAACAAUAGCUGCAUGGCUAUUGCUUAAAAGGCGGCGAAAGCUGUCGCUAAAGGAUGGACCCGCGGUGCAUUAGCUAGUUGGUAAGGUAAUGGCUUACCAAGGCGACGAUGCAUAGCCGAGUUGAGAGACUGAUCGGCCACAUUGGGACUGAGACACGGCCCAAACUCCUACGGGAGGCAGCAGUAGGGAAUCUUCCACAAUGGGCGAAAGCCUGAUGGAGCAACGCCGCGUGAGUGAAGAAGGUUUUCGGAUCGUAAAGCUCUGUUGUUGGUGAAGAAGGAUAGAGGUAGUAACUGGCCCCUAUUUGACGGUAAUCAACCAGAAAGUCACGGCUAACUACGUGCCAGCAGCCGCGGUAAUACGUAGGUGGCAAGCGUUGUCCGGAUUUAUUGGGCGUAAAGCGAGCGCAGGCGGAAAGAUAAGUCUGAUGUGAAAGCCCCCGGCUUAACCGAGGAAUUGCAUCGGAAACUGUGUUUCUUGAGUGCAGAAGAGGAGAGUGGAACUCCAUGUGUAGCGGUGGAAUGCGUAGAUAUAUGGAAGAACACCAGUGGCGAAGGCGGCUCUCUGGUCUGUAACUGACGCUGAGGCUCGAAAGCAUGGGUAGCGAACAGGAUUAGAUACCCUGGUAGUCCAUGCCGUAAAC